rnacentral:antisense_RNA from 1 species
AGCCCUCCCCUACCUGCCCAGCAAUUUACUCUUAAAAAGGUGGCUGGAGCUAAAGGCAUAGUCAAGGUUAAUGCUCCUUUUUCUUUAUCCCAAAUCAGAUAGCAUUUAGGCUGUUUUUCAUCAAAUAUAAAAAUCCAACCCAGUUCAUGACUCGUUUGGCAGCAACCCUGAGACACUUUACAGCCCUAGACCCUAAAAGGUCAAAAGGCCAUCUUAUUCUCAAAAUACAUUUUAUUACCCAAUCUGCUCCCGACAUUAAAUAAAACUCCAAAAAUUGAAUUCCGGCCCUCAAACCCCACAACAGGAUUUAAUUAACCUCGCCUUCAAGGUGUACAAUAAUAGAAAACAGUUGCAAUUCCUUGCCUCCACUGUGAGACAAACCCCAGCCACAUCUCCAGUACACAAGAACUUCCAAACGCCUGAACCGCAGCGGCCAGGCGUUCCUCCAGAACCUCCUCCCCCAGGAGCUUGCUACAAGUGCCAGAAAUCUGGCCACCAGGCCAAGGAAUGCCUGCAGCCCAGGAUUCCUCCUAAGCCGAGUCCCAUCUGUGGGGGACCCCAUUGGAAAUCGGACUGUCCAACUCACCUGGCAGCCACUUCCAGAGCCCCUGGAACUCUGGCCCAAGGCUCUCUGACUGCUUCCCAGAUCUUCUUGGCUUAGCGGCUGAAGACUGACGCUGCCCGAUCGCCUCGGAAGCCCCCUAGACCAUCACCGACACUGAGCUUCGCGUAACUCUCAUAAUGGAGGAUGCACAUCCAGAUGGCCGGUUCCUGCCUUAACUGAUGACACUGUCUUGUGAAAUUCCUUCUCCUGGCUCAUCCUGGCUCAAAAGCUCCCCUACUGAGCACCUUGUGACCCCCACUCUGCCUGCCAGAGAACAACCCAACCCCCCUUUGACUGUAAUUUUCCUUUACCUACCCAAAUCCUAUAAAACGGCCCCACCCCUAUCUCCCUUCACUGACUCUCUUUUCG